rnacentral:tmRNA from 1 species
GGGGGUGAUCCGGUUUCGACGGGACAUGACUUUGGUCGGAUUGCGCGCCGUGGAUGCUCGUUGGCCACGUUAAAAAACGGGUAAAAACAGUAAUUGCGAACAACGAUUACGCUCUCGCCGCCUAAGUAACGGCCGCGAUGUCGAAGCGCCGACGUCUGCUAAGCGCCUAGGCAUAAAUUCAGCAGAUCUCGCUGCGGAGAGUUCCGUUUGCCCGUCGCAGGGAGCCGAAUCAAACGGUUGAUCGGGGAUAAGCCCGCCGGUUGGCGUGCCACGGUCGAGACAAACAUCCGGAUACGCGCGUAGAAGUUCGAUGGGAGCGGUUUCGGACAGGGGUUCGACUCCCCUCACCUCCACCA